AUGAAUGGUGUGUUGACAAAAGGUGGAAAGAGAUAUUUCAUGACUUUGGUUGAUGAUGCGACUAGAUUUUGCUAUGUUUAUUUGUUGCAAACUAAAGAUGAAGCAUUAGACUACUUUAAAACCUAUAAAGCUGAAGUUGAAAAUCAACUAGAGAGAAAGAUCAAGCGUCUUAGGUCCGAUCGUGGUGGAGAGUAUUUUCCCAAAGUUUUUGAUGAAUUUUGUGAGGAACAUGGUAUUAUUCAUGAGAGGACGCCUCCCUAUUCACCUCAAUCAAAUGGAGUGGCCGAGAGGAAAAACCGCACAUUGACUGACUUGGCGAAUGCCAUGUUAGACACUGCUGGUUUAUCUAAGGCAUGGUGGGGGGAGGCUCUAUUGACUUCAUGUCAUGUCCUGAAUAGAGUUCCCAACAAUAAUAAGGAGAAAACCCCUUAUGAGGAGUGGGUUGGGAGAAAACCAUCACUUUCUUAUUUGCGCACUUGGGGAUGUUUGGCAAAGGUCAAUAUUCCUAUUCCUAAGAAACGCAAACUUGGACCAAAGACAGUGGAUUGUGUCUUUCUAGGGUAUGCUCAACGGGGCAUUGCUUAUAGGUUUUUAGUGGUAAAAUCUGAAGUACCUGAUAUGCAUGUUGAUACUAUAAUGGAAUCUCGUGAUGCAACAUUUUUUGAGAACAUAUUUCCUAUGAAAGAUAUGCAUAGCAUUGCUAGAUUUUCUUCUGAGAUAAUUCCUGAAUCUAGUACAACUGAUGAAUAUUUCGAACAAUCACAUGAGGAAGUCCUUGAGAAGGAUAACAAUGAAGUUCCUAUAAGGAACAAGAGACAAAGGAUUGCAAAAUCCUUUGGUGAUGAUUUCAUUGUAUACCUUGUGGACGACACACCCAAGACGAUUGCAGAAGCAUAUGCAUCUCCGGAUGUAGAUGAUUGGAAAGAAGCUGUUCAUAAUGAGAUGGACUCAAUUCUUUCUAAUGGAACUUGGGAACUAACUAAUAGACCAUAUGGUUGUAAACCUGUGGGCUGUAAGUGGGUGUUCAAAAAGAAGCUAAAGCCUGAUGGUACUAUUGAUAAGUACAAGGCGCGGCUAGUGGCCAAGGGCUACACUCAGAAAGAAGGCGAAGAUUACUUUGACACC
rnacentral:rRNA from 1 species